AUUGAACGCUGGCGGCAUGCGUUACACAUGCAAGUUGAACGGUAACAGGUCUUCGGAUGCUGACGAGUGGCGAACGGGUGAGUAAUGCAUCGGAACGUGCCCAGUCGUGGGGGAUAACGCAGCGAAAGCUGCGCUAAUACCGCAUACGAUCUAUGGAUGAAAGCGGGGGACCGUAAGGCCUCGCGCGAUUGGAGCGGCCGAUGUCAGAUUAGGUAGUUGGUGGGGUAAAGGCCCACCAAGCCAACGAUCUGUAGCUGGUCUGAGAGGACGACCAGCCACACUGGGACUGAGACACGGCCCAGACUCCUACGGGAGGCAGCAGUGGGGAAUUUUGGACAAUGGGCGCAAGCCUGAUCCAGCAAUGCCGCGUGCAGGAAGAAGGCCUUCGGGUUGUAAACUGCUUUUGUACGGAACGAAACGGCUCUCUCUAAUACAGAGGGCUAAUGACGGUACCGUAAGAAUAAGCACCGGCUAACUACGUGCCAGCCGCCGCCGUAACAC
rnacentral:rRNA from 1 species